rnacentral:rRNA from 1 species
CUACGUGCCAGCAGCCGCGGUAAUACGUAUGUCGCAAGCGUUAUCCGGAAUUAUUGGGCAUAAAGGGCAUCUAGGCGGCCAGAUAAGUCUGGGGUGAAAACUUGCGGCUCAACCGCAAGCCUGCCCUGGAAACUAUGUGGCUAGAGUACUGGAGAGGUGGACGGAACUGCACGAGUAGAGGUGAAAUUCGUAGAUAUGUGCAGGAAUGCCGAUGAUGAAGAUAGUUCACUGGACGGUAACUGACGCUGAAGUGCGAAAGCUAGGGGAGCAAACAGGAUUAGAUACCCUGGUAGUCCUAGCUGUAAACGAUGAUUACUGGGUGUGGGCAUGAAGAGUGUCCGUGCCGAAGUUAAUGCGAUAAGUAAUCCGCCUGGGGAGUACGGCCGCAAGGCUGAAACUCAAAGGAAUUGACGGGGACCCGCACAAGCGGUGGAGCAUGUGGUUUAAUUCGACGCAACGCGAGGAACCUUACCAGAUCUUGACAUCCCG